rnacentral:rRNA from 1 species
UACGGAGGGGGCGAGCGUUAUUCGGAAUUAUUGGGCGUAAAGGGCGCGUAGGCGGCCUGGUAAGUCAAAGGUGAAAUCCCUCGGCUCAACUGAGGAACUGCCUUUGAAACUACCUGGCUUGAGGCCGGGAGGGGGUAGCGGAAUUCCCAGUGUAGCGGUGAAAUGCGUAGAUACUGGGAGGAACACCAGUGGCGAAGGCGGCUACCUGGACCGGUUCUGACGCUGAUGCGCGAAAGCGUGGGGAGCAAACAGG